AAUACUCAUACGGGUCACAUGGCACGGGUCACGUGGCCUGGGUAACGCCUGCUCGGUCCAUACCUCUUGCCAGGUGUCACUCGAUUCCAAUCAUGGUUGUCCAUAUGUCCAGCUCGGAUGCCACAUCAGUAACUACUGUCUUUGCGUGCAUUCUACUCGUAGAGAAUAGAAGUUUUGCCUGAUUCCUGAUCAAGGGGAAGGGUCGA
rnacentral:misc_RNA from 1 species